GUCUGCCACCGAACACUCUCCCACAUUGUCUUGCCUCCUCUCCUUCUGGUCCCUUUCUCCCUCCCACGCCACCGCCUUCCGCUUCCCCCUCGCGGUUUGCGGUCGCCGAUGGCGUCCCCUGCCCUGAGCCUUCCAUAGGUUAGCUCCGCAAUGGGCCAUCGUGAUGUUCAAGAAAGCUCCCGGCUCUAAAACCUCACAUCUUUCUACCCCCAUCCUCUUGCCCCAAUCUAAGAAGCAAAAAUCCUGAGGGGAAAAUCUGGUCCGAAAAUUCCAUGGAUUCGAGCGAUGGGGUGGGCGACAUGGUUCCUAGCGACGAUGUGCUUCUUUGCUGCGGGCAUCCUAUUCGUCCCUUAUGCUCUCGAUUCCCCCCUCCGGCAUAGGCUCUGUCACCUCCGCCAAGCUGGCUCAUGUCCUUUCCUUUGCCACCUUCUAGAACACCGCCCUCUGGCCCACCUUCAUUAGCGCCAUCAUAAUGUUCAGGAACCUAUCGAGGCACAUGUUCGGCAACUUGCAGAGCAACUGUUCCUAGCCUACUUCACGCUUGCAGGAGAUUUGGCAAAACAUUAUGGAUAUGAGUGCUAACCUUGGCAAAUUUGCAGCAUCUUUGAAGAAAAAGAUGGUUGGGUUAUGAAUAUAGUCCCUUUUACAGAAUAAGGAAGCUAAAAAUUAUAUAUGAUCGUGGUUUAAUGGGGACUGUCCAUGAUUGAUGUUGGGCAUAUAAAUGUGAAGAACAACAAAUUUUUGGACGCCUCCUCGCACUUGGCGGGCUAAAUCGUGAAAGAGCUAAAUCGUGAUUUUAGUGUGAAAAAGAACAAAUGGUUAGCUCUUUACACUAAAAUCGUGAUUUACACCUAAAUCACGAAGCGCACUUGGUGGGACGUGAACAACAAAUGGUUCUCUUGAAAGAGCUAAAUCGUGAUUUUAGUGUGAAGCCUCUUGUCUUGCAUGUGCUAGCCAAUGUGUUACAAUGGUUGAUGGUGUGAACCAUGAUCCAUCAGAAUGUUCUAUGGAUUCACCUUGCUGGCGAGGGACAGCUUCUCGCCUUUCUCCAUAUUUGAUGGUCUUCCAACAUUUGUUGCACAAAUAGUGAAACCGAAAUUAGAUGCUUUUGAUGCAAGAAAGGAACAAAGCUCCAGCACUGAUUAUGGCGCUACAACUAAACUUCAAAAUUUGGUCUGCUGAAAGAGUACACAAAACCAUUCCCAAUCCCAUGUUAAAUAGGGUCUAUCCAAAGAACCUGAAGAUAUUGGUGAAAAUAUCACACAAUAUUCCUAUGAAAAAAGCAGGUUGUAGAACAUGGUGAAGUGAAUUCCAAUGCAGACAAACACUGUUUAGAAGUGAUAGAUGAUCGCACAAAGCGAUCUGGCCUAAAAUCUGAUGUUCCUGAUUUUUUUCCUUAGCUGUUAUGAAAUCAAAUACCAGUGAUGGAUCGUGUUCUUCAUCUGGACCGAACAUAUCAAGAAUUCUGAAGGCGGUCGGAGGUACUAUGUAAUAAUUAUUCUGAUGAAAUUGAGCUAGAGGAGCAUGACUACAACCUCCUCCAAUCAGUAAUUGAGAAUCUUCAGACUUGGAUUCAAGCAAGGUGCACCAUUUUUGCAUUUCUAAACUUAUAUUAACACAACUACAAAAACAUGAUUAUGGGUCUGACGUCCCCUUAACAUGAUAUUUAGGAAAAUGGGCCCACCGAAACCUGUCGGGGCCGGGCAUCACCCAAUGGGAUGCCACAUAAACUGUCACAGGGAGGUGGGCACGAGGCAUUCAGUUAGGUCGCGUUGUGGACUAAUUGGUAGUUUGAAACAGAGGAGAUUGCCCUUUAAUGUAGUGAUCUGUUAUGGAUUUAUGGAGUUUAUUAGGCUACUUGCCCUUUAAUGGACAUAUGGUCAACCUAUAUUUUAUCUUCAUGCUGCUUGCAUUGUUAUUGUUGCUCCCUUCCAUUACUUUGUGACUAACUUCAUUUGGUAUUCAAAUCUUAUAGGUUCUCCUAGCUCAUAUCUGCAACACGAAAUGGUUGUAUGGCAAAACUCUAGAAUGUAGAAAACAUUGUAAAUUACAGCUAUCUUGUUCCUUCCCUGUCCAGUGAGAAAUGCAGCUUCUGCCAGUGCUGCUACGAGUGUUCCUUUGCCUAAAUAGUAAGGUAUCUCUAUGCAUCAGUUUUGGCAUAAAUAGAUGCAGAUAUACAUAGAGCAUCCAAAAAACCUUUGGUGCUCUACAUGUUGUGUUGUUGAACAUACUAGCUUUUGAAAACAUAUUACUCGAAUAUGUGUAGGCCUGCAACAAAAGAUUAUGUUUUUGUCAACCUUAAUGAAAACAUUGCUCAAACAAGCAAGGAACAUAGCAUUGAGACAUUACAUGAAUAUUAUGUUGUUGCUUAAUUUGCAAUUCUAGAGCUGAUCAAGUGAGAAUUUAGAGAGGUCAUCAUAUAUUUGAAGUUGUUAAUUUCAACCUAAAACUGUAUUAUAUUUAGUGCCAGUUUGUUUUUGUUGUUUCAAGAUUGGUUAGUGGUUAUAGGGUCGUAACCUUUGGAUUUUGGUACAGUUUGCUGUUAUAGUAACCUAAUUAUAUUCCUACCACUCACAGCCUGAAGCAUGACUGCCAUCUGAUUUUUUUUAUUUUAUACACUUAUUCCUAAUUUAUGGUGUUUUCUCUCUGAAGUGAGUAAAAUUGUGAAGUGAGCCUUCAUGUUUUCUAUGUGAUUGGUACCAAUAAAUCCAGCAUACACCUUUACCUAAGGAAGUCAUGUUCAGGAUAGAUAAUUUUAGCUCGCCCUUUAGAAAGAAGCUCCUCAAGAGUACUGCAGCUUCUCAAAUUUAGCUCAAUACAUGCUAUGAUGUUCUCACACUAAUCAGUGUUUACAGGUCAUCGCUAGAUCAUGAUGCUUCAUUCUAAGAGGUGCUCGCGAGCACCUAGGCUUCUCCGCUUCUGAUCAUGGUUGUGGACCUUCCUGUAUGUCAAUAUCCAUUGGUCGUUCCCACAGGCAGUAGUCGUCGAGCCCACUGGCGUGUAUAUAGAGAUCAUCUGCUGCUAAGACCUUCUGGUCGUGAACUGUGUUGUUUAAUUACUUAUGUAACCGGCAUAUUUUGAUAAACAUGACAUAUAAUAUAUUUCGCAAGG